rnacentral:rRNA from 1 species
GACGAACGCUGGCGGCGUGCUUAACACAUGCAAGUCGAGCGGUAAGGCCCUUUCGGGGGUACACGAGCGGCGAACGGGUGAGUAACACGUGGGUGACCUGCCCUCAGCUCUGGGAUAAGCCUGGGAAACCGGGUCUAAUACUGGAUAUGACUCCAUGACGCAUGUUGUGGGGUGGAAAGCCUUGUGCGGCUGAGGAUGGGCCCGCGGCCUAUCAGCUUGUUGGNGGGGUGAUGGCCUACCAAGGCGACGACGGGUAGCCGGCCUGAGAGGGCGACCGGCCACACUGGGACUGAGACACGGCCCAGACUCCUACGGGAGGCAGCAGUGGGGAAUCUUGCGCAAUGGGCGAAAGCCUGACGCAGCGACGCCGCGUGAGGGAUGACGGCCUGGUGU